rnacentral:tRNA from 11 species
UGGCCUCGUGGUUCAGACGCCAGGCUUGAAAGCCGCAGGUCGCUGGUUCAAGUC